rnacentral:rRNA from 1 species
AACCGGAUUAGAUACCCUGGUAGUCCAUGCCGUANACGAUGAGUGCUAGGUGUUGGAGGGUUUCCGCCCUUCAGUGCCGCAGCUAACGCAUUAAGCACUCCGCCUGGGGAGUACGACCGCAAGGUUGAAACUCAAAGGAAUUGACGGGGGCCCGCACAAGCGGUGGAGCAUGUGGUUUAAUUCGAAGCUACGCGAAGAACCUUACCAGGUCUUGACAUCUUGCGCUAACCUAAGAGAUUAGGCGUUCCCUUCGGGGACGCAAUGACAGGUGGUGCAUGGUCGUCGUCAGCUCGUGUCGUGAGAUGUUGGGUUAAGUCCCGCAACGAGCGCAACCCUUGUUACUAGUUGCCAGCAUUCAGUUGGGCACUCUAGUGAGACUGCCGGUGACAAACCGGAGGAAGGUGGGGACGACGUCAGAUCAUCAUGCCCCUUAUGACCUGGGCUACACACGUGCUACAAUGGCCGGUACAACGAGCAGCUAACCCGCGAGGGUGUGCAAAUCUCUUAAAGCCGGUCUCAGUUCGGACUGCAGUCUGCAACUCGACUGCACGAAGUCGGAAUCGCUAGUAAUCGCGGAUCAGCAUGCCGCGGUGAAUACGUUCCCGGGCCUUGUACACACCGCCCGUCACACCAUGGAAGUUUGCAAUGCCCAAAGUCAGUGGCCUAACCAUUUUGGAGGGAGCUGCCUAAGGCAGGGCAGAUGACUGGGGUGAAGUCGUAACAAGGUAACC